rnacentral:lncRNA from 1 species
AACUCUUUUUCAUGGUAAAUUAGCAUAGUUCAAUUGUUUUUAUCAAUUAAUUUAGUAAAACUUCAUAAUACCCCCUAAAUCGAUGGAAUAACCACUAUAAAAUUAUUAUUUUCUUAAUAAACUGAGAGCACAAAGGCUCCAAACCUCUUUGAACAUCAUCAUAUGUUAGUGGAGGAUGCAACUAGGCAUUAAAACAAUAUUGUCAUAUUUUUUGAAAUUUUCUCAAAAUAUAUGGGCUAACCCCUACGAAAAUAUUGAAUUUUUCGAUAAAUGCUCUAUAUACUGGAGCCUAUGAUCUUUAGUGUUGUUUUAAAAUUUCUAAACACAUUAUAAAUUUGUAUUAAUGUAUAUUAAACUAUCUUACAUGGUACAUGUGCAUCGUUUUAAUUUUUGGUUUAUUAAUUUAGUAAAACUUCAUAAUACCCCCUAAAUCGAUGGAAUAACCACUAUAAAAUUAUUAGGUUUAUUAGUUUAGUAAAACUUUAUAAUACUCCCUAAAUUGGUGGACUAACUAUUAUAAAAUCGUUAUUCUCUAGAAAAACGGAGACAACAAAGGUUCCAAACCUCUUUGACCUUCAUAAUAUGUUAGUGAAGGAUGCAACUAUGCAUAAAAACAGUAUUUUUAUAUUUUUGAAAUUUUUUCAAAAUCUAUGUGUUAACCCCUACGAAAAUAUUGAAUUUUUCGAUAAAUGGUCUAUAUACAAAACCAAUGAUCUUUAGAGUUGUUUUAAAAUUUCUAAACACAUUCUAAAUUUCUAUUAAUGUAUAUCAAACUCUCUUUCAUGGUACAUGUGCAUCGUUUUAAUUUUUUGUCAAUUAAUUUAGUAAAACUUCAAAAUACUCCCGAAAUUGGAAGACUAACUAUUAUAAAAUCGUUAUUCUUUAGAAAAACGGAGAUAACAAAGGUUCCAAACCUCUUUGACCUUCAUAAUAUGUUAGUGAAGGAUGCAACUAUCCAUUAAAACAGUAUUUUUAUAUUUUGAAUUUUUUUCAAAAUCUAUGUGUUAACCCCUACGAAAAUAUUGAAUUUUUCGAUAAAUGCUCUAUAUACAAAACCAAUGAUCUUUAGUGUUGUUUUAAAAAAUUUAAACACAUUAUAAAUAUGUAUUAAUUUAUAUGAAACUCUCUUCCAUGGUACAUGUGCAUCGUUUUAAUUUUGGUCAAUUAAUUUAGUAAAACUUCAUAAUAGUCCCUAAAAUGGUGGAUUAACCAUUAUAAAAUCGUUAUUCUAUAGAAAAACGGAGACAACAAAGGUUCCAAACCUCUUUGAAAUUAUUAAUAUGCUAGUGAAGGAUGCAGCUAUGCAUUAAAUCAGUAUUUUUAUAUUUUUGAAAUUUUCUCAAAAUUUAAGUGUUAACCCCUACGAAAAUAUUGAAUUUUUCGAUAAAUGCUCUAUUUACUGGAGCCUAUGAUCUUUAGUGUUGUUUUAAAAUUUCUAAACACAUUAUAAAUUUGUAUUAAUGUAUAUUAAACUCUCUUACAUGGUACAUGUGCAUCAUUUUAAGUUUUGGUCUAUUAAUUUAGUAAAACUUCAUAAUACUCCCUAAAUUGGUGGACUAACCAUUAUAAAAUCGUUAUUCUCUAGAAAAAAAGAGACAACAAAGGUUCCAAACCCCUUUGACCUUCAUAAUAUGUUAGUGAAGGAUGCAACUAUCCAUUAAAACAGUGUUUUUAAUAUUUUGAUUUUUUUUUCAAGAUUUAUGUGUUAACCCCUACGAAAAUAUUGAAUUUUUCGAUAAAUGCUCUAUAUACAAAACCAAUGAUCUUUAGUGUUAUUUUAAAAUUUCUAAACACAUUAUAAAUUUUUAUUAAUGUAUAUUAAACACUCUUCCAUGGUACAUGUGCAUCGUUUUAAUUUUUGGCCAAUUAAUUAAGUAAAACUUCAUAAUGCUCUUUAAAUAGGUGGAGUAACCAUUAUAAAAUCGUUAUUCUCUAGAAAAAUGGAGACAACAAAGGUUCCAAACCUCUUUGAAAUUAUUAAUAUGCUAGUGAAGGAUGCAGCUAUGCAUUAAAUCAGUAUUUUUAUAUUUUUGAAAUUUUCUCAAAAUUUAAGUGUUAACCCCUACGAAAAUAUUGAAUUUUUCGAUAAAUGCUCUAUUUACUGGAGCCUAUGAUCUUUAGUGUUGUUUUAAAAUUUCUAAACACAUUAUAAAUUUGUAUUAAUGUAUAUUAAACUCUCUUACAUGGUACAUGUGCAUCAUUUUAAGUUUUGGUCUAUUAAUUUAGUAAAACUUCAUAAUACUUGGAACAUGUGCAUCGUUUUAAUUUUGGUCAAUUAAUUUAGUAAAACUUCAUAAUAGUCUCUAAAAUGGUGGACUAACCAUUAUAAAUACGUUAUUCUCUAGAAAACGGAGACAACAAAUGUUCCAAACCUCUUUGAAAUUCUUAAUAUGCUAGUGAAGGAUGCAACUAUGCAUUAAAUCAGUAUUUUUAUAUUUUUGAAAUUUUCUCAAAAUCUAUGUGUUAACCCCCUACGGAAAUAUUGAUUUUUUCGGUAAAUGUUUUAUAUACAAAACCAAUGAUCUUUUGUGUUUUUUUAAAAUUUCUAAACACAUUCUAAAUUUCUAUUAAUGUAUAUUAAACUCUCUUCCAUGGUACAUGUGCAUCUUUUUAAUUUUAUGUCAAUUAAUUUAGUAAAACUUCAUAAUACUCCCUAAAUUGGUGGACUAACCUUUAUCAAAUUGUUAUUCUUUAGAAAAAACGGAGACAACAAAGGUUUCAAACCUCUUUGACCUUCAUAAUAUGUUAGUUAAGGAUGCAACUAUGUACAAAAACAGUACUUUCAUAUUUUUUAAUUUUUUUCAAAAUUUAUGGGUUAACCCCUACGAAAAUAGUGAGUUUUCGGUAAAUGCUCUAUAUAUGAAGCCUAUAAUCUUUAAAUUUGUUUUAAAAUUUAAAACCACAUUAUACCUUUGUAUUAAUGUAUGAUAAACUUCUUUGCAUGGUACAUGGACAUCAUUCUAAUUUUUUAUCCAUUAAUUUAGCAAAACUUCAAAUACUCCCUAAAUCAUUGGACUAACCACUAUAAAAUUGUUAUUCCCUAGAGAAACGGAGACAACAAAGGUUCCAAACCUCUUUGAACUUCAUCAUAUGUUAUUACAUGAUUCACCUAUGCAUUAAAACAGUAUUGUCAAAUUUUUUUAAUUUUUCUCAAAAUCUAUAUGUACCCCCCUACGAAAAUAGUGAGUUUUCGGUAAAUUCUCAAUAUAUGAAGCCUAUAAUCUUUUAAUUCCUUUUAAAAUUUAUAACCACAUUAUACAUUUUUAUUAAUUUAUGAUAAACUCCUUUUCAUGGUACAUGUAAAUCGUUCUAAUUUUUUAUCAAUUAAUUUAGCAAAACUGCAAAUACUCCCUAAAUCAUUGGACUAACCACUAUAAAAUUGCUAUUCCCUAGAGAAACGGAGACAACAAAGGUUACAAACCUCUUUGAACUUCAUCAUAUGUUAUUCCAUGAUUCAUAUAUCUAUUAAAACAGUAUUCUCAAAUUUUUUAAAUUUUUCUCAAAAUCACAACAACACUCGUUAUAUACAAAUUUCAACAUAAGGAGUUCUUCAACAACCAACAUAAAAAGUUUUACGUUACUACUAAAACUGAGAAAGACGAUUACAUUGUGAACCAAGGAUAUACCGGAAAUAACCCAAAAAAAAAAACAAACAAAGAGUCUUUGUUUCUAAAUUUUAAAGUCUCUCCGGUGACAUCUAUCAAAGUUAGUUUGAGAGUGAACGCAAGAAAGCAUCAAUCAUCAAGCCUCACUCACAAGCUUCUUCCAAGGACUCGUUUACUGGUUUUAAUCCAGUUUUACCAUUGCUAGAUCUCGAACAAGGGCUUUCGUGGACAGCAUUAAUCAGUGUUCUUGUUUCUUGGGAUCAUUUUUGUUCUGAACUGCUCCUGCGCUGUGUCGUCCGGUUAAUGGCUGUCUCUCUUCACGAGACAAAGAGCUGACUGCGACGCUGAAGCUUUUUCUCCAAGAAAGGAUGAGUUUUGGCCGAGUCAAAGGAAGCUAGAAAGAUACUUGGAACAUAAGCUACCUUGUCACAUCAUACUUUUUUUCCCUCGUUACUCUGUUUAAAAUUUUAAAAGACGUAGGACCCACGUCACAACUCAAAAGAAACCUUUUAUCCUUUCGCAGCAAAAUUCUUACAGAUAAUUCAUAAAACAAUAGACAAAAUUGGUCGGAUUGUCCAACAAAUAGCCUUCGAAAAAGUUAACCACCAACGAGAGAUUGACAUGUGUACUGUAAUAUACAAACACACUAUGGAUGUUCAGACACGAAUUAAUGUGAGUGAAUAACAAAACCGUGAACACUCAAUAAUAUGAUUUGAUUCCAAUUUGUAAAGUCAAAUUUAGAUCGGAGAUCUUGUAAUAAUUUCUAUAAAAUAUAACGCAAACCCACUUAUAUUGGCAUAUUUCAGGCCCACGCUAAGUUUUGUAAUGUAAAAGGCCCAACAGGUAAAUACCUCAACAAUGAUCGAGGGUAAUCUCGUCAUUUAAAGUUUCGAAGGGAGACGAACCAAUCCGUCUUUCGCUCUUACUCGGUCAACAAACCACUCGAAGACGAACACGUGUCACAUUGUGGUUGGCUUCACGAUGAGCGCAUCGGGUGCUAUAUAAAUGCCGUUAAGGCCUCAUAACGGUUUUCUAAUUUCCCGCUAGAAAGAGAAGAGAAGUGAAAGAAGAAGAUGGCGAUGGAAGUAGCAACACCGGCUUUUGCACCGAUCACAUCACCGGAGAUAAACAUCGUCCUCGCUGCGACGGCGAAGAAGGCUUCCGUUGAGACUCACAAGAAGAACAGGAUCCAAGUCUCCAACACGAAGAAACCUUUGUUCUUCUACGUUAAUCUCGCCAAGGUUGUUUUUUGUUGAUUCGUGUUUGUUAGUAUUCCAAAGAGAACAAUUGUGUUUUUGAUUCUUUAUUCGGCUGAUGCAGAGGUACAUUCAGCAACACAACGAGGUCGAGCUCUCUGCGCUUGGAAUGGGUGAUUAAUUACAUCCUUAAUCUUCUUUAAAAGCUUGUUGAUGGUGUGUGUAUUUACUUUUAACUGUUUGUUUUUGUAAAUAGCAAUAACUACCGUGGUAACAAUCUCUGAGAUCUUGAAGAACAAUGGAUUGGCUACAGAGAAGAGUAAGUUUAAAGUCUCUCUCUCUCUCUCUUUCAUGAUAAAAAAAAAAGCUUUCGUCUGAUUCAAGAAUGUGUUUUCAUGUUUGUUCAGAAGUGUUGACAUCGACAGUGGGAAUGAAAGACGAGACUAAAGGAAAGAUGGUUCAGAAGGCAAAGGCAAGUCUUUUCUUUCUUUACCAUCUAACGUCAUGAUUCUUAUUUUACAUCUCUUUGUAUUUAUGUGUUACGCAGAUUGAGAUUGUGUUGGGAAAGUCAGCCAAGUUUGACUCUUUGGUGCCGCCUGUGACCAACGACAAGACUCCUGAGGAGGUAGCCAAAGCAGAGACGGAGGCGGCUGUUGAAGUACAAGAAGCUGCAGCCACCGAGGCAUAAGACUGAUCUGGCUCAGAAACACAAGAAAGAUCGUUCCAUCUUUUUAAUGUUUUGUUGUUUUUGUUUCACUUGUGACAUAUCGAACAUAAUACUCUAGAUAUGUAAAUAAUAAGUACAUUGAUGGUUUAACUGUGUUUCGUGACAAGCAGUCAUACAGAUAAAAACAAUAUAUCUACAAAUAUAUUGAGUUUUUGGUAAAUACUUUAUAUACUGAAGCCUAUAAACUUUAGUGUUGUUUUAAGAUUUCUACCAUGUUCUACAUUUGUAUUAAUGUAUGAUAAACUCUUUUUUCAUGGUAAAUGAGCAUCGUUUAAUUGUUUUUAUCAAUUAAUUUAGUAAAACUUCAUAAUAUUCCCUAAAUCGAUGAAUUAACCACUAUAAAAUUAUGAUUUUCUUGAUAAACGGAGACGAAAAAAGGCUCCAAACCUCUUUGAACAUCAUCAUAUGUUAGUGCAUGAUGAAACUAGGCAUUAAAACAAUAUUGUCAUAUUUUUUGAAUUUUUUUCAAAAUCUAUGGGCUAACCCCUACAAAUAUCUUGAGUUUUUGGUAAAUACUUUAUAUACUGAAGCCUAUAAUCUUUAGUGUUGUUUUAAAAUUUCUACCAUAUUGUAAAUUUGUAUUAAUGUAUGCUAAACUCCUUUUCAUGGUAAAUGAGCAUCGUUCAAUUUUUUUUAUCAAUUAAUUUAAUAAAACUUCAUAAUACUCUAUAAAUCGAUGGAGUAACCACUAUAAAAUUAUUAUUUUCUUGAUAAACGGAGACGGCAAAGGCUCCAAACCUCUUUGAACAUCAUCAUAUGUUAGUGAACGAUGCAACUAGGCAUUAAAACAAUAUUGUCAUGUUUUUUGAAAUUUUCUCAAAAUCUAUAGGCUAACCCCUACAAAUAUAUUGAGUUUUUAGUAAAUACUUUAUGUACUGAAGCCUAUAAUCUUUAGUGUUCUUUUAAAAUUUCUACCAUAUUGUACAUUUGUAUUAAUGUAUGCUAAACUCUUUUUCAUGGUAAAUGAGCAUCGUUCAAUUGUUUUUAUCAAUUAAUUUAGUAAAACUUCAUAAUAUCCCUAAAUCGAUGGAAUAACCACUAUAUAAUUAUUAUUUUCUUGAUAAACGGAGACGACAAAGACUCCAAACCUCUUUGAACAUUAUCAUAUGUUAGUGCAGGAUACAACUAGGCAUUAAAACAAUAUUGUCAUAUUUUUUGAAAUUUUCUCAAAAUCUAUGGGCUAACCCCUACAAAUAUAUUGAGUUUUUGGUAAAUACUUUAUAUACUGAAACCUAUAAUCUUUAGUGUUGUUUAAAAAUUUCUACCAUAUUGUACAUUUGAAUUAAUGUAUGCUAAACUCUUUUUCAUGGUAAAUGAGCAUUGUUCAAUUUUUUUUAUCAACUAAUU